rnacentral:tRNA from 1 species
GGGCCCGUAGCUCAGCAAGGUAGAGCGGCGGGCUCUUAACCCGUUGGUCCGGGGUUCAAAUCCCCGCGGGCCCGCCA